rnacentral:rRNA from 1 species
GAGUUUGAUCAUGGCUCAGGAUGAACGCUGGCGGCGUGCUUAACACAUGCAAGUCGAACGAACCUUCGGGUUAGUGGCGGACGGGUGAGUAACGCGUGGGAAUCUGCCCUCAGGAGGGGGAUAACGGUUGGAAGCGACCGCUAAUACCCCAUACGCCGAGAGGUGAAAUGAAUUUCGCCUGAGGAUGAGCCCGCGUCUGAUUAGCUUGUUGGUGAGGUAAUGGCUCACCAAGGCAUCGAUCAGUAGCUGGUCUGAGAGGAUGAUCAGCCACACUGGGACUGAGACACGGCCCAAACUCCUACGGGAGGCAGCAGUGGGGAAUUUUCCGCAAUGGGCGAAAGCCUGACGGAGCAACGCCGCGUGAGGGACGAAGGCCUCUGGGCUGUAAACCUCUUUUCUCAAGGAAGAAGAUAUGACGGUACUUGAGGAAUAAGCCACGGCUAAUUCCGUGCCAGCAGCCGCGGUAAUACGGGAGUGGCAAGCGUUAUCCGGAAUUAUUGGGCGUAAAGCGUCCGCAGGCGGCCUUUCAAGUCUGCUGUUAAAGCGUGGAGCUUAACUCCCAUCAUGGCAGUGGAAACUGAUUGGCUUGGGUAUGGUAGGGGCAGAGGGAAUUCCCGGUGUAGCGGUGAAAUGCGUAGAUAUCGGGAAGAACACCAGUGGCGAAGGCGCUCUGCUGGGCCAUUACUGACGCUCAUGGACGAAAGCCAGGGGAGCGAAAGGGAUUAGAUACCCCUGUAGUCCUGGCCGUAAACGAUGAACACUAGGUGUCGGGGGAAUCGACCUCUUCGGUGUCGUAGCUAACGCGUUUAGUGUUCCGCCUGGGGAGUACGCACGCAAGUGUGAAACUCAAAGGAAUUGACGGGGGCCCGCACAAGCGGUGGAGUAUGUGGUUUAAUUCGAUGCAACGCGAAGAACCUUACCAGGGCUUGACAUCCUGCGAACCUUUAAGAAAUUAGAGGGUGCCUUCGGGAACGCAGUGACAGGUGGUGCAUGGCUGUCGUCAGCUCGUGUCGUGAGAUGUUGGGUUAAGUCCCGCAACGAGCGCAACCCACGUUUUUAGUUGCCAGCACUUAGUUGGGCACUCUAGAAAGACCGCCGGUGAUAAACCGGAGGAAGGUGUGGAUGACGUCAAGUCAUCAUGCCCCUUACGUCCUGGGCUACACACGUACUACAAUGCUACGGACAAAGGGCAGCAAACUCGCGAGAGCUAGCAAAUCCCAUAAACCGUGGCUCAGUUCAGAUCGUAGGCUGCAACUCGCCUACGUGAAGUAGGAAUCGCUAGUAAUCGCAGGUCAGCAUACUGCGGUGAAUACGUUCCCGGGCCUUGUACACACCGCCCGUCACACCAUGGAAGUUGGCCACGCCCGAAGUCGUUACUUUAACCCUUGUGGAGAAGGACGCCGAAGGUGGGGCUGAUGGGUGGGGUGAAGUCGUAACAAGGUAACC